AAUAAGUGCAGUUUUGCACUAUUCAUGUUCAACGUUUGAACGUUCAUCUUAUUUAAAUUUUUUUUAUGAUUAGUAUUUUUAUUGCUAUUAGAUGAUAAAACAUGAAUAGUACUUUAUGUGUGACUAAAUAUUUUUAAAAUUUUUCACAAAUUUUUCAAAUAAAACGGACGGUCAAACGUUUGGCACGGAUAUCUACAGCUGCACUUAUU
rfam:Oryza nivara chromosome 4, whole genome shotgun sequence.